rnacentral:rRNA from 1 species
GUAAUACGGAGGGUGCAAGCGUUAAUCGGAAUUACUGGGCGUAAAGCGCACGCAGGCGGUCUGUCAAGUCGGAUGUGAAAUCCCCGGGCUCAACCUGGGAACUGCAUUCGAAACUGGCAGGCUAGAGUCUUGUAGAGGGGGGUAGAAUUCCAGGUGUAGCGGUGAAAUGCGUAGAGAUCUGGAGGAAUACCGGUGGCGAAGGCGGCCCCCUGGACAAAGACUGACGCUCAGGUGCGAAAGCGUGGGGAGCAAACAGGAUUAGAUACCCUGGUAGUCCACGCCGUAAACGAUGUCGAUUUGGAGGUUGUGCCCUUGAGGCGUGGCUUCCGGAGCUAACGCGUUAAAUCGACCGCCUGGGGAGUACGGCCGCAAGGUUAAAACUCAAAUGAAUUGACGGGGGCCCGCACAAGCGGUGGAGCAUGUGGUUUAAUUCGAUGCAACGCGAAGAACCUUACCUGGUCUUGACAUCCACAGAACUUUCCAGAGAUGGAUUGGUGCCUUCGGGAACUGUGAGACAGGUGCUGCAUGGCUGUCGUCAGCUCGUGUUGUGAAAUGUUGGGUUAAGUCCCGCAACGAGCGCAACCCUUAUCCUUUGUUGCCAGCGGUUAGGCCGGGAACUCAAAGGAGACUGCCAGUGAUAAACUGGAGGAAGGUGGGGAUGACGUCAAGUCAUCAUGGCCCUUACGACCAGGGCUACACACGUGCUACAAUGGCGCAUACAAAGAGAAGCGACCUCGCGAGAGCAAGCGGACCUCAUAAAGUGCGUCGUAGUCCGGAUUGGAGUCUGCAACUCGACUCCAUGAAGUCGGAAUCGCUAGUAAUCGUAGAUCAGAAUGCUACGGUGAAUACGUUCCCGGGCCUUGUACACACCGCCCGUCACACCAUGGGAGUGGGUUGCAAAAGAAGUAGGUAGCUUAACCUUCGGGAGGGCGCUUACCACUUUGUGAUUCAUGACUGGGGUGAAGUCGUAACAAGGUAACCGUAGGGGAACCUGCGGUUGGAUCACCUCCUUACCUUAAAGAA